GCAAGCGUUACUCGGAAUCACUGGGCGUAAAGCGCGCGCAGGCGGCCUUGUAAGUUGGAUGUGAAAGCCUACGGCUCAACCCGUAGAACUGCAUCCAAAACUACUAGGCUAGAGUGUGGGAGAGGAAGAUGGAAUUAGUUGUGUAGGGGUAAAAUCCGUAGAGAUAACUAGGAAUACCAAAAGCGAAGGCAAUCUUCUGGAACAUUACUGACGCUGAGGCGCGAAAGCGUGGGGAGCAAACAGGAUUAGAUACCCUGGUAGUCCACGCCCUAAACGAUGAAUGUUAGUCGUCGGGUAGCUAGUCUAUUCGGUGAUGCAGCUAACGCAUUAAACAUUCCGCCUGGGGAGUACGGUCGCAAGAUUAAAACUCAAAGGAAUAGACGGGGACCCGCACAAGUGGUGGAGCAUGUGGUUUAAUUCGAAGGUACGCGAAGAACCUUACCUAGCCUUGACAUAUUUUAGAACACUUUAGAGAUAGAGUGGUGCCUUCGGGAGCUAUUAUACAGGUGCUGCACGGCUGUCGUCAGCUCGUGUCGUGAGAUGUUGGGUUAAGUCCCGCAACGAGCGCAACCCUCGUCACUAGUUACUAACGGUUCGGCCGAGGACUCUAGUGAGACUGCCUUCGCAAGGAGGAGGAAGGUGAGGACGACGUCAAGUCAUCAUGGCCCUUACGGCUAGGGCAACACACGUGCUACAAUGGCCAGGACAAUGAGACGCGAUACCGCGAGGUGGAGCAAAUCUAUAAACCUGGUCUCAGUUCGGAUUGUAGUCUGCAACUCGACUACAUGAAGCUGGAAUCACUAGUAAUCGUAGAUCAGCUAUGCUACGGUGAAUACGUUCCCGGGUCUUGUACUCACCGCCCGUCACACCAUGGGAGUUGAUUUCACCCGAAGCGGGGAAGCUAAACUGGCUACCCUCCACGGUGGAAUCAGCGACUGGGGUGAAGUCGUAACAAGGUA
rnacentral:rRNA from 1 species